AACCCUAAACCCAAUUCCACAACAUCUUAAUCUCACACCUACUAAAUCAGGUUUUGCAAUUAAUUGUUAGCAAUCGUUGAGAUAUGCAAUUCCUAAAACCCUUUUAGUUUGAAUCAUGUCUUCAACUUUGUUUGGAUGUUCUACUUAAUUACAGUUGAUUCAAUCCCUAAUCCAAUCGAUCACAAGGUCUGACUCUUGGUGUGCAAAAAAUAAAGUGGUGGCUUAGGGGACUUGUUUUUUCUAGGGCUUCAAAUUCUUUUUGGUGAAUAGCCAAUGAAUGUAGAAUCUAAAUAAAGAUCAAAUUAAAGAAGGCAUGGGGAUAUGCAGUUGAAGACGUUUCACCAGAUGUAAUGGACCGUAAGAUUGAGUACUAACAUCUUCUCCAAGUCCACGCACCAGUCCCACACCCUCACCCUCACAUGGGAAAUGCAUACACAACAAUCUUGUCACCACAUCCAAUUGCUUUGGUCUUGUAAGCAGGGAAGAAGUUGACAAAGGUGAAGCCGAGAAACGCGAGUGGCGCCCACCAUGGCGGUUGAUAUUGGAAACGACUUCGAGUGCUACAGUAUGAGUCGAGUGGCGUCCGCCGUGGUUUACACCAAGUCGUAUCCUGAUUUUCGACUUGCGGACAAGUCGAGUUCGAGUGGGGUGGAUUAAUAUGUGCCCACUACUCCAUGUUCAUGCAAGCCACGAUUUCCAUUAUAGUUCAUGUUUUGUUUGUUUACUUUUGCAAGUGUCUAAGUAAUAAGGUUAGUGGGGUUUAACCAUUUAGUCCAUGUUUUAUUAAUUCAGUUUGUAAUUAAGCCUAUAAAAAGGCAUAUGUGUUAGUGUUUGAUUAGGAAUUAAAUAUGAAUUAAGUCUUGAUAUCUC
rnacentral:lncRNA from 1 species